UUCAAUACGAGUACAUAUGUGUGUACAAGAUUAUAUCAAGAAGGAUGUGAAGAAAAUUUCUUAUCAUCAAUUAAAUGUUAUUUCCUCUACGUCAGUACAAAUAGUUCCAAAUGCUUCAAACUUUAUAAAAACUCCCUUUAGAUUCGAAGAGAAAAGUUUCUUAUUGAGUUUCUUCUGAAAUUUUCUCGAAUCAUUGUGGAGGCAGGACAUAAAAUGGCAGGCUUCAAAUUCUACAGCCUAUUGUUGCUAUUGAUUGGAGUAAUUUUAAUGAUGGCUUCGCCGGCAAUUUCACAACCGAGAUGUCUCCAAACUGGACUUGGAUGUCAGCCUUGGGCAUGGCCUCCAUGUUGUACGGGAAAUUGUUAUAAAGAAGAAGGAUGGGUAGCUGGAGUUUGCCGAUAAUAAUUAUCUAUUAAAACUCAAAAUAAGGUUUUAUUAAAAUUUUUCACUUUUAAAAUUUUCAAAUAUGAAUCAGAUCGAAUUUUUUUUCUUUAAAUUCUAAAUUAUAUUCAACGUUGUAAAUUUUUAU